rnacentral:rRNA from 1 species
AUACUAGUAAACAUGGCGAGCCUAGAUUAUUAACAGUUAUAAGCUUUAAAUUCGAAGAAUUUGGCGGUGGUUUAGUCUUGUUAGAGGAACCUGUUUUUGAAUCGAUACACCACGUAAAAUCUCACUCAUUUUAUUUAGUUUAUAUACCGUCAUUAUCAGAUAAUUUUUAGAGAAUUAAUUAUUAAGUUUUAAAAAAUUAAGUUAAAUUAGAUCAAGGUGUAGCUUAUAAAUGAGCUAAAAUGGGUUACAAUAAAAUUUAUUUAUUAUGGAGUAAUUAAUACGAAAUGAUAUUAUGAAGGAGGAUUUAAUUGUAAUAAGAGUUUAAUAAGCUUAAAAGAUAUAAGCUCUAAU